CAGUGAUGGUGAAAACAUUGAAGAUGUGCCGAUGUAUUACGACAAAUAAAAUGGAGGAUUCGUCAAAGACAAAAUAGUAGAUCAGGAGGUAAUGGCCCAAAGGCACAGAGGCCGAUUUGAAGAACGGUUUGAGAUCAUCUCCCGGGCAACCUGGAGCCGCAACUGUGACCUUAUCGAGGAUUCCCGUCCUACCCUGAAACCCCCACUGGGCAACUUGGUGAUCGGGUGGGCGGGAACCCCAUCCUGCACUUCCAGGAAGGAUUGUUACCAUGCUCUUUGGGACAUGUUGAGGCAGGACAGAUUGAAGCAUCGUCCAGAGAUAGAACACAAUUUUUAUAUAGGAGGUGAUGGAAACGUAUACGAGGGGCAGGGUUGGUGGAGAAAAGGACCUGACCUUCGAGCGUAUGCCACUGAACAAUUUGUGACAGUCGCUAACACGGCUACUGUUGCUAUUAUCGGCCCA